rnacentral:rRNA from 1 species
UACGAAGGGGGCUAGCGUUGCUCGGAAUCACUGGGCGUAAAGCGCUCGUAGGCGGAUCUUUAAGUCAGGGGUGAAAUCCCAAGGCUCAACCUUGGAACUGCCUUUGAUACUGGGGAUCUCGAGUCCGGAAGAGGUGAGUGGAACUGCGAGUGUAGAGGUGAAAUUCGUAGAUAUUCGCAAGAACACCAGUGGCGAAGGCGGCUCACUGGUCCGGUACUGACGCUGAGGUGCGAAAGCGUGGGGAGCAAACAGG